rnacentral:misc_RNA from 1 species
UUGAAGGAAAGGAUCUAUCAAGAAUAGAAGCUGCUUCUCAGUCAUUAUGCCAAAAAUUUCACCCUGGUUCAUUCUCCAAAAUCGAAUGACCAUCCUAGUUGCCGCUGGUUGUUGUUCUUGGAUUGCAUAUCCAAGUUAUAUGAGCCAAAAUGGCCUUUGGACUUGCAAAUGCCAAAAAGGAUAUUAAAGGUACACAAUGAAGGAGAACGAUGCUCGAGAAGAAAACGAUCAAAGAAAAUGGAGUAGCUUGCAACUCUUGAUACAAAUAUUUACUGUUUCAUACAGUUUUAAGACACAAUUACUUGAAGCUUAUAUGCACCUCUGGGAUCAAACAGCCUUUCUGUUAUCAUCUGCAAUUUACUUGGUUACAUUAUGUUACUAUGAAUUGGUGCAUUUCACCUUUCAUUUCAACCAAACUGAAUCCUGGUGUUUUGUGUAUACCUUCAGUUUUCAUCUUCUUCCUUACUUUUUCAGCAUCAAACCAUCUGUUUUCUGCAGCAUAAAUGUUGGAGAGAAGAAUGUAACGCCCCGACUGAUACGGGUCCAUUUGAGUCACAAUCUUGGCUAUCCUUUCACCCAUUUGAACCUCACCAUGCAUCCUACAGGCCCCUAGUAAGGCACCCCAGAUACCAGCAUCAGCCUUUUCAGGCAUAUCUUGAAUAAACAUCUCUGCUUCUUCAACCAAACCCG